GAAGAUCUAGGACAAGUGAUAUGUCGUGCAUGAAUGAUUUCGGACGACUCGGGAUGGCCAGAACAUGAAUUUACUGAAAAGGUUCAAAAAUGCGCCUAUGAUUGUGUUAAUAUGCGGCACAUAUUACAAUGAUUUUGUGUUGUCCUGAUUAGAUCACUACUAGAAAAGCAUGAUUUCGUGUCGAUCGUUUAUUAAACAUAGACGAUCGACGCUAAAUAUUUUCGCAUCGGUUGGAAAAAAAACUCAAUUUGGCGACGUAAAAUAUAUUUAGCGUCGGUCGAUUCAUAUUUCUCGUCACUUGGUAAGUGAACGACACUAAAUCACGAGGAAAUAAUUAAGAAAAAAAUCGCCAGCCGAUAAAUUUCUAUCUUCAACGAGUUACUUUCAUUUCCUCCAUCUUCUUCUUUCUCAUUUUUUCUUCUUCUUCUUCUUCUUCUUUCUUUAUGGGUGGACAACCAUCUUGUUGUUCUUCUUUUCCAUCAUCAUCUUCUUCUUUUUUUAUGAGUGGACAUCUAUCUUUUUUUUUCUUCUUCUUCUUUUCUUUUUUUUUUUCUUUUUUCUUCUCUUCCUCUU
rnacentral:lncRNA from 1 species